GUGCCUCGAGCUACUGGGUUGCUCGAGGUUCCUCAGGUUAGCCAUCGCAGCGAAGCGGGAAGUUGAGCUGACUGGGAGUGUGACACUUUGGAAUGAAAGUGUCACGGACUGAGCAGCUCAGAGGCAAGGAGCCAGCCGAAUGUCCUGACCCACAUUCUGGAUUUCUUGGAUAACUGAAGGAUUCAAAAAGGCUUUCUGUUAAAACAACAGGACUCAGAGGACCACAUGCUGGUAGCCUGUGGACUUUGCAUCCAGACAUCAAGUGCUCUGCCAAAGAGCGAGGAGCUUGACUGUCAUUAGGUUGCUGCAAUACUUUUCCUUCAGCUACAUAUUUACUGUCUGCAGCAGACAGACUGGACUUCUAAUUGGCUAAUAUUGCCCAACUUCUGCCUGACACCAAAAUAUGUCCAACAUCUGUGUAGAUUACAUACACCAUAAAAUUCUAUACCUAUCCUGGGUUAUACUGGCGUAGUAGUAUGUAGUAUGACAUAUGGUUUUGAUGAUCUGAAUGUUCUUUCACUUGUGUGGAAUGUUUUGAAACACUCUCUAUGUCUAGGUCCUCUUGUUCUCUCUUGCAUUGGAUGGGAGACAGAGGGACAACUGGGUUGCAGAAUGCUCUCUGAAGGGCUGGGUUCAAAGGAGGGAGCUUGGGUGGCAGAGGAGGGAGUUUUGAUGGCAAAGCCUGUGUCGCAGCAUUCUGUAUUUUUGAUAGAAAAUUAGCAUCCUGUAAUUGACAACGCUACAAGGGUGAUGGCCUGAUGACAGGUGCUAGGGUGUUCUUUUCCUCCUAGACACUUCAGAGCACCUGCAACAGGAGGCUGGACUACUGUAAGCUCCUCUGACGUAGAAGGGGAACUCUGACGUGAGAAAUAGUCUUCUCCUGGGGAGCCUCUCUCACAGAUCUAAAUGUUACUAUGCAUACAGACAGACAGGGGGAGAAUGAAUAAUUUCAAGUAGAGCUCCAAAGUGUAGAAAUGUGUAAUACCUAUCCAUCCACUAUCAUAUCCAUAACAUAUGAGUACUUGUGCUAUCUUCAGAAAUUAUACAUUGAUUAAGAACUUCAGACACUAAUAUUUUGACAAGAUAGAUUUCAGUAACUCACAAUGUUCUCGCGUCCUCCAUUUUCUGCUGUAUUCCAGAGCUGAGCGACUCUGGCCACUGCGUCUCUGCUCUGCUGCCUGGUGAUUGUGUCCAAGUGUAAAACUUGCUUCCUCCACGUUGCCCACUCCAAGCUGUCCUCUUCUUCCUCUUCUUCACCCACUCCUCAAGCUCCACCAUUCUCAUGCGGUCCAGGGAAUGUAUUACCCUGGGUAGCUGAGCAAUAGCGUCUUUGAGCAUUAAACACUCUCCUUCUUCCCUUUUUUGAUGGGAGAGAUGUUUUUUUCCCUUGUUUCCCCAUUUCUCCACUUCCGUGACCCGCGUCUCUCUACCCUCCAGCAGGACUGCUAACUUCCUCUCUCUUGUUGUGCUCUUUAAGCUCCACCAUUCUCAUGUGGUCAAGGAAAUGCAUCACCCUGGGUAGCUGAGCAAUGUCUAGUCCUCUUUGGCACUGCAGCAGUUCAGUUUUCUGAUGAACUGAAAAAACCUACAAACAAAAGAAAAUGUUUCACAGAGUUAUUGCAAUUUCUAUUACAGCAUCAAUAACUUUAGUGUAACUGUUGCUUCCUCCAUGUUUUACACUCCAAAUAGUCCUCUUCCUCUCUCUUGUGCUCCUAAAGCUCCACCAUUCUCAUGUGGUCAAGGGAAUGUAUCACCCUGGGUAGCUGAGCAAUAGCCUCGUUGAGCAUUGCAGCAGCACACUCUUCUUCCUCUCCAACUUGGCUCACCUCUCCUCAUUUGUCAAACCACAUGCAAGAAAUGUGGGUGUUAUUUUUGAUUCUGGGCUUUGUCUUGAUAUACAGAUCUCAUCUGUUGUCAAGAGUAGCUUUUAUCAGUGAGAACCAUCACCAAGCUUAAACCCUUUCUGUCAUAUCACAACCUGGAACAAGUCAUUCAUGCCUUCAUAACAUCAUGGCUUGAUUACUGCAAUUCCCUUUACCUAGGUCUCCCCAAUCACUGUUGUCACACCUUCAGAUGGUCCAAAACGCAGUGGCAAGGCUGCUAACUGGUACCAAAAAACUGGAGCAUAUUACCCCAGUCUUAGCCUCCCUUCAUUGGCUCCCAGUCCAUUUCAGGAUCCAAUUUAAUGGUUUUUAAAGUACAAAAUGGUCUGGCCCCAAUCUACAUCUCUGACCUCAUACACCCCCAUUCAGCCCCCAGGUCUCUUAGAUCUGGCAACAAAGACCUUCUCUACAUCCCCCGCUCUCUGCUAAUGCAAAAAGGUGACAGAGCCUUCGCCGUCGCUGCUCCACGCUUGUGGAAUCAGCUGCCACCUGAUAUAAGAACUGCCCUCUCCAUCACUGCUUUUAAAUCCAGGCUCAAAACCCACCUAUACUCUAGCCUUUUCUGCCCUCUAACGUGCUAUGCUUGCUUUCUGUGUCCUGCUGUUCCUUGUUUAAUGUGUAGAUGUAUUUUAUUUUAUUUAUUUUAUUUUUGUUUCUAGUUUGAAAACAGCACUUUAUUAAGCUGUGUAUAAAUGUGCUAUAAAAAUACAUUUGACUUACUUCAUUGUCGUCCAAAACCGGGUGAAAUCAGCGGAUAGGUCAAGCCUAAAUAAUUUAAAACACAAAAACCGCCAUCAUGUAGGCUACACGUCUCGUCACAUAUCAUCACUAAUAUAUAGCCUACACGGCCUCGGCCUGCAGCUACACACCACCGAACUCAUCUUCACCUGUAGGCCUAUCUAGUUGUAACCUGAAAACUUGUCAUGUGUAAUAUUGUAUUGUAACAUUGUAUGCUGUUUCCCAUGUAACUCCAUUGACCACAAUGCAAUAUUCCCACUGUUCUAAUCAAAUUUUGUAUAUGUUUGACCAAUGAGAUUUAUUUGUUUGAUUUGCUUUGAUUUGAAUUGUAUAGCAGGUUAUUAGAUACAGGUACAUUAGGGGAACAUUUCUUGGUUAUGGGAACGUUGCUUGAAAAUUGUGAAUGUUGUCCUAUGGUUUGCCAGUAAAGUUUUUCUGACGGAAAUACUACGUUUUUUUGGUUGUGUUGGUUUGCAGAACGUUUUUCUAACAUUUUCUAACCUGGGGCAACCUUUAGAGAACGAUACUAUUUGGUUGCAGUAUGGUUCCCCUAACCAUGUAAAAAAAAACUUGGGGUAACCAUCAGAGAAUGUUACCAUUUGGUUGUAGUAACAUUCCCUUAACUAUUGAAAUUAAACAACCUAGGGGCAACCUUUAAAGAACAUUAUAUUUGGUUGCAGUAAUGUUCCCCUUACCAUGUGGAUAAAAAAAAACUGAAGACAAUGUUACAUUUAGGUUGUCAAAACGGUAUUGAACGUUAAAAUAACCAUCA